AUUGAACGCUGGCGGCAGGCCUAACACAUGCAAGUCGAGCGAGCGGCGGACGGGUGAGUAAUGUCUGGGAAACUGCCUGAUGUAGGGGGAUAACUACUGGAACCGGUAGCUACUACCGCCUACCAUCCGAUGUGCCCAGAUGGGAUUAGCUCGUGGGUGGGGUAAUGGCUCACCUAGGCAACGAUCCAUAGCUGGACGGAGAGGAUGACCAGCAAAACGGGAACGGGGAAACGGUCCAGAUUCCUACGGAAGGAAGCAGAGGGGAAUAUUGGAAAAUGGGCGAAAGCCUGAUGAAGCCAUGCCGGGUGGAUGAAGAAGGUUUUCGGGUUGUAAAGUACUUUCAGAGGGGAGGCGGUACUCGCAGAAGAAGCGCCGGCUAACUCCGUGCCAGCCGCCGCGGUAAUAC
rnacentral:rRNA from 1 species